GAUGAACGCUGGCGGCGUGCCUAACACAUGCAAGUCGAGCGAACAGACGAGGAGCUUGCUCCUCUGACGUUAGCGGCGGACGGGUGAGUAACACGUGGAUAACCUACUUAUAUGACUGGGAUAACUUCGGGAAACCGGAGAUAAUACCGGAUAAUAUAUUGAACCGCUUGGUUCAAUAGUGAAAGACGGUUUUGCCGUCACUUAUAGAUGGUUCCGCGCCGCAUUAGCUAGUUGGUAAGGUAACGGCUUACCAAGGCUACGAUGCGUAGCCGACCUGAGAGGGUGAUCGGCCACACUGGAACUGAGACACGGUCCAGACUCCUACGGGAGGCAGCAGUAGGGAAUCUUCCGCAAUGGGCGAAAGCCUGACGGAGCAACGCCGCGUGAGUGAUGAAGGUCUUCGGAUCGUAAAACUCUGUUAUUAGGGAAGAACAGAUGUGUAAGUAACUAUGCACGUCUUGACGGUACCUAAUCAGAAAGCCACGGCUAACUACGUG
rnacentral:rRNA from 1 species